GACGAACGCUGGCGGCAGGCUUAACACAUGCAAGUCGAACGAGAUCUUCGGAUCUAGUGGCAGACGGGUGAGGAACACGUGGGAACAUCCCUUUCAGUUCGGAAUAACGUUGGGAAACUAACGCUAAUACCGGAUACGUCCUUCGGGAGAAAGAUUUAUCGCUGAAAGAUUGGCCCGCGUCUGAUUAGCUAGUUGGUGAGGUAACGGCUCACCAAGGCUACGAUCAGUAGCUGAUCUGAGAGGAUGAUCAGCCACAUUGGGACUGAGACACGGCCCAAAGUCCUACGGGAGGCAGCAGUGGGGAAUAUUGGACAAUGGGCGCAAGCCUGAUCCAGCCAUGCCGCGUGAGUGAUGACGGCCUUCGGGUUGUAAAGCUCUUUUGUCCGGGAAGAUAAUGACUGUACCGGAAGAAUAAGCCCCGGCAAACUUCGUGCCAGCCGCCGCUGUAA
rnacentral:rRNA from 1 species